rnacentral:sRNA from 1 species
UGUCUAUGCGGCACAGCUACUUGCCGAA